AACGAACGCUGGCGGCAGGCCUAACACAUGCAAGUCGAACGGGAUCUUCGGAUCUAGUGGCGGACGGGUGAGUAACGCGUGGGAACGUGCCCUUUGGUUCGGAAUAGCCCUGGGAAACUGGGAGUAAUACAGGAUGUGGUCGAGAGACGAAAGAUUUAUCGGCAAAGGAUCGGCCCGCGUUGGAUUAGGUAGUUGGUGGGGUAAUGGCCUACCAAGCCGACGAACCAUAGCUGGUUUGAGAGGAUGGUCAGCCACACUGGGAAUGAGACACGGCCCAGACUCCUACGGGAGGCAGCAGUGGGGAAUCUUAGACAAUGGGGGAAACCCUGAUCUAGCCAUGCCGCGUGAGCGAUGAAGGCCUUAGGGUUGUAAAGAUCUUUCAGUGGGGAAGAUAAUGACUGUACCCACAGAAGAAGCCCCGGCUAACCCCGUGCCAGCCGCCGCAGUAACAC
rnacentral:rRNA from 1 species